AAACCAGCACCUCAAGUGGUCAGGAUGAUUAUUGGGCCUAAAGCAUCCGUAGCCGGCUCUGUAAGUUUUCGGUUAAAUCUGUACGCUCAACGUACAGGCUGCUGGGAAUACUGCAGAGCUAGGGAGUGGGAGAGGUAGACGGUACUCGGGAGGAAGUGGUAAAAUGCUUUGAUCUCUCGAUGACCACCUGUGGCGAAGGCGGUCUACCAGAACACGUCCGACGGUGAGGGAUGAAAGCUGGGGGAGCAAACCGGAUUAGAAACCCCGGUAGUCC
rnacentral:rRNA from 1 species